AAAGAGUAACGGAGGAGCACGAAGGUUGGCUAAUCCUGGUGAUAAAAGGUACUCCGGGGAUAACAGGCUGAUACCGCCCAAGAGUUCAUAUCGACGGCGGUGUUUGG
rnacentral:rRNA from 1 species